rnacentral:rRNA from 1 species
UGAGGACGCCUACCAUGCAAGUCGAACGGCAGCACAGAGAAGCUUGCUUCUUGGGUGGCGAGUGGCGGACGGGUGAGGAAUACAUCGGAAUCUACUCUUUCGUGGGGGAUAACGUAGGGAAACUUACGCUAAUACCGCAUACGACCUUCGGGUGAAAGCAGGGGACCUUCGGGCCUUGCGCGAUUGAAUGAGCCGAUGUCGGAUUAGCUAGUUGGCGGGGUAAAGGCCCACCAAGGCGACGAUCCGUAGCUGGUCUGAGAGGAUGAUCAGCCACACUGGAACUGAGACACGGUCCAGACUCCUACGGGAGGCAGCAGUGGGGAAUAUUGGACAAUGGGCGCAAGCCUGAUCCAGCCAUACCGCGUGGGUGAAGAAGGCCUUCGGGUUGUAAAGCCCUUUUGUUGGGAAAGAAAAGCACUUGGUUAAUACCCUUGUGUUCUGACGGUACCCAAAGAAUAAGCACCGGCUAACUUCGUGCCAGCAGCCGCGGUAAUACGAAGGGUGCAAGCGUUACUCGGAAUUACUGGGCGUAAAGCGUGCGUAGGUGGUUGUUUAAGUCUGCUGUGAAAGCCCUGGGCUCAACCUGGGAAUUGCAGUGGAUACUGGGCAACUAGAGUCAGGUAGAGGAUAGUGGAAUUUCCGGUGUAGCAGUGAAAUGCGUAGAGAUCGGAAGGAACAUCUGUGGCGAAGGCGACUAUCUGGGCCAUGACUGACACUGAGGCACGAAAGCGUGGGGAGCAAACAGGAUUAGAUACCCUGGUAGUCCACGCCCUAAACGAUGCGAACUGGAUGUUGGGUUCAAUUUGGGAACUCAGUAUCGAAGCUAACGCGUUAAGUUCGCCGCCUGGGGGAGUACGGGUCGCAAGACUGAAACUCAAAGGAAUUGGACGGGGGG